CAGCAGCGCGGUAAUACGAAGGGGGCUAGCGUUGUUCGGAUUAACUGGGCGUAAAGGGCGCGUAGGCGGGUUUUUAAGUCAGAGGUGAAAUCCCAAGGCUCAACCUUGGAACUGCCUUUGAUACUGGAAGUCUUGAGUCCGGGAGAGGUGAGUGGAACUGCGAGUGUAGAGGUGAAAUUCGUAGAUAUUCGCAAGAACACCAGUGGCGAAGGCGGCUCACUGGCCCGGUACUGACGCUGAGGCGCGAAAGCGUGGGGAGCAAACAGGAUUAGAUACCCGAGUAGUCCCUGUCUCUUAUACA
rnacentral:rRNA from 1 species